GUGCUCUACAAGGAGUUGCAGGAGUUGGGGAUGGAGAGAAGUUGAGAAGCAAGAUUUACUUUCUUUGGCUAGUCCAUGCAGCACCGUGCAGGAGUCAUAUCAUGCACAGCUAUCUAGUUGGUUAAUAUAGCUUGUUACACCCACUGAACCAGGUCAGAAUGUGGUCAGACAAAAAACAAAAGUGGAAGCCAUGCACUUUACAUCAAACAACACUGACAGAUUCUCACCCAUGCUGAAGAUGUCAAGGACUCUGCUCACUCUAUUCUCAGUAGUUCUGUGUGUCAGUCUCCCCUCAGCAUCUGCUGCCCAGAUCAGGCUGGUGAAUGGGACCAGUGGGUGCUCAGGUCGAGUGGAGGUGCAUAUCUCUAACCAGUGGGGAACUGUGUGUGAUGAUG